UCAGGCCUAACACAUGCAAGUCGAACGGGUGUCGCAAGACAUCAGUGGCAGACGGGUGAGUAACACGUGGGAACCUUCCUAGGGGUACGGAACAACUCAGGGAAACUUGAGCUAAUACCGUAUACGUCCGUGAGGAGAAAGAUUUAUCGCCCUUAGACGGGCCCGCGUCGGAUUAGCUAGUUGGUGGGGUAACGGCCUACCAAGGCGACGAUCCGUAGCUGAUCUUAGAGGAUGAUCAGCCACACUGGGACUGAGACACGGCCCAGACUCCUACGGGAGGCAGCAGUGGGGAAUCUUUAAAAGGGGGCGCAAGCCUGAUCCAGCCAUGCCGCG
rnacentral:rRNA from 1 species